UACGUAGGUGGCAAGCGUUGUUCGGAAUUAUUGGGCGUAAAGCGCGCGUAGGCGGCCCGGUAAGUCCGCUGUGAAAGUCAAAGGCUCAACCUUUGAAUGUCAGCGGAUACUGCCAGGCUAGAGUCCGGAAGAGGCGAGUGGAACUCCUGGUGUAGCGGUGGAAUGCGCAGAUAUCAGGAGGAACACCGGUGGCGAAGGCGGGUCUCUGGGCCGAUACUGACGCUGAGGCGCGAAAGCUAGGGGAGCAAACAGG
rnacentral:rRNA from 1 species